GUGGGGAAGUUUUCCGCAAUGGGCGAAAGCCUGACGGAGCAAUGCCGCGUGGAGGUGGAAGGCCUACGGGUCGUCAACUUCUUUUCUCGGAGAAGAAACAAUGACGGUAUCUGAGGAAUAAGCAUCGGCUAACUCUGUGCCUG
rnacentral:rRNA from 1 species